GAUGAACGCUAGCGGCAGGCCUAACACAUGCAAGUCGAGGGAGAAGCCCUUUCGGGGGCAGAAACCGGCGCACGGGUGCGUAACGCGUAUGCAACCUACCUUUCACAGGGGGAUAGCCCGAAGAAAUUUGGAUUAAUACCCCAUAAUAUUAUUGGAUGGCAUCAUUUGAUAAUUAAAACUGCGGUGGUGAAAGAUGGGCAUGCGUCCUAUUAGCUAGUUGGAGUGGUAACGGCACCCCAAGGCUACGAUAGGUAGGGGUCCUGAGAGGGAGAUCCCCCACACUGGUACUGAGACAGGGACCAGACUCCUACGGGAGGCAGCAGUGAGGAAUAUUGGUCAAUGGUCGGAAGACUGAACCAGCCAUGCCGCGUGCAGGAAGAAUGCCUUAUGGGUUGUAAACUGCUUUUAUAUGGGAAGAAUAAGGCGUACGUGUACGUUGAUGAUGGUACCAUAUGAAUAAGCAUCGGCUAACUCCGUG
rnacentral:rRNA from 1 species